AUUGAACGCUGGCGGCAGGCCUAACACAUGCAAGUCGAGCGGAGCGGCGGACGGGCGAGUAAUGCCUAGGAAUCUGCCUGGUAGUGGGGGAUAACGUCCGGAAACGGGCGCUAAUACCACAUACUAUCAGACGAGCCUAGGUCGGAUUAGCUAGUUGGUGGGGUAAAGGCCCACACAGGCGACGGUCCGUAACUGGUCUGAGAGGAUGAUCAGUCACCCGGGAACUAAGUCACGGCCCAGACUACUACGUGAGGUAGCAUUGGGGAAUAGUGGAUAAUGGGCGAAAGCCUGAUCCAGCCAUGCCGCUUGUGUGAAGAAGGUCUUCGGAAUGUAAAGCACUUUAAGUUGGUAGGCGUUACCAACAGAAUAAGCACCGGCUAACUUCGCGGCAGCAGCCGCGGUAAUUC
rnacentral:rRNA from 1 species